rnacentral:rRNA from 1 species
UAGUCAUAUGCUUGUCUCAAAGAUUAAGCCAUGCAUGUCUAAGUAUAAGCAAUUUAUACAGUGAAACUGCGAAUGGCUCAUUAAAUCAGUUAUCGUUUAUUUGAUAGUUCCUUUACUACAUGGAUAACCGUGGUAAUUCUAGAGCUAAUACAUGCGUAAAGUCCCGACUUCUGGAAGGGAUGUAUUUAUUAGAUAAAAAAUCAAUGUCUUCGGACUCAAUGAUGAUUCAUAAUAACUUUUCGAAGCUCAUGGCUUUUUGCUGGAGCUGGUUCAUUCAA